rnacentral:lncRNA from 1 species
AAAUAAUUAAAUUCCAAAAAUCUCUUACUGUUACUGUAACAAGAAGUUACUAGAAAAUAACAUAGUUUAUUUUAAAUGUCUUGUGAAUAUGGUGUAUUGCAGUCAUUUUGCGAGAUUUGAGAUCUAGUAAGAGCUUCUAAAAAACACCGUAGAGAUCAGAAUGGUCAAAGACCUCGGUAUCACUGUACGCAGCUGCAAAAAGGCUAGCUUUUCACUCGCAAACAAAAGGAGUAACUGAAAAGGAUCGUGCACUACCAAGACUCGCAAAUGCAAAAAAAAACAAAAUGAUACCAUGUGGUAGUAAAUGUCAACCAAAGCCUACAUGCAAGAAUGUAACUAGCAAUGAAAACUAAUAUUUUCAAUAUUUAAUUUUUAUGUAAUCUUUGAAUUAUAAAAUUAACAAACUGUCAUGUAACCAUCAUUGUUUUUUAGAUAAAGUUUUUGUAUUAUUG